rnacentral:lncRNA from 1 species
GUGCAGUGGGAGGCUUAACUUCGGCAGCUGUUCAUGCUUUGAGAAUGAGAAAUCAGGCAAAGGUUUCAUUGGACAACAGUCAAUCCCUGAGACAACACAACAGGAUGGAGUGAGCAUUCUAUACUGAACAUUAUCAAGGCAAAGAAGUGAUGGUGGUAACAGAAGGCACCUGGAAGAAUCACGAGGAGCAUGGUACAAGGGCUCUCUGCAGUGCUCAUCCUGUGGAAUGUGAAAAAGCACUCUGCUUGGCGCCCUCGGGCACAGUCCAGACAGGCCGUUUUUCCAUUGUGCUGAAAAUAGCUGAUUUCCAGUGCCAUUUCCAGCAUGGCAGAAAAUCUUCCCCAUGCAACAUGUUUGAAGCUGCUGAACUGUCAUCCCCCAACUUCAGAGAAGGUGAGGGAGUGAAGCAUGUGGCAUACAGGUACCACAAGCUUUCCCAUGGGACAAGAGCAAGCAUCCUCACAGGCAUUUGGAAGGUACACACAGGAAAGCUGAUGGGAAAAUCUGGAUGGAAUACUAAACACCCCAGAAAACUGUGGAUCUUCACAGUUCACGUGCUACUGGAGGUAAAUCUGAGACAGGUCUACUAGGAAAUAAGCCCUAUGUUGGUCCAUUGGAGUUUAUGGCUCCAUCGAUAUAAAGCCCAGGAGUGGGCAAGGCCCAGGGCAGGAGGCUUCAGGUCUCUAUCCAGACAGGUUCUAAAACCCAGGAUUAUCCCAGCACUAUGUUGGGCUUGCCACAUGUAUCUGCAAGAAAAUCAACUCCCAAACAUGGGUUUUACCUAUAAGGUGAGAGCACUAGGGGUGUGCACGAAAGGAUCUUUCGGUGUUCGUUUCGCAAAGCAUCGAAGCACCGUUGUUUUCUUUUCGCAUGAAAACGCU